GUCCAGGCCCCGGGUGGCGCACCCACCUCUGGACUACAUUUCCCAGGGGGCCCCGCGGCCCAACCACUUCCGGCCGAAAGGGGCUAGUCCGCGUGACCUGGCGGGUGUUGGAAUGCAAAGGGCUGGAACGUCCCGGGGUGCGGAGCUCAUUGGGUUGGGAUGAACUCGUUCAGACUUGAGUGCUAGGACGCCGAAGGGGGCGUGAGGCGUCCCGGCGCGGGACUGGGGUUGUCUGCAGUUUAAAAGUCAUGUGGCUCUCGGAGAUGUGCGGACUGCAUGCCCGGGCUUCACCGCUAAGGGAGCUCUGGGCUGUGCGAUGGGGGAUGGGAGGAGAGUGUCGGGGCUACUGGCCCCCAGCUCGGGAGAGGGCAGUGUGGGGCCGCGCGACUGCAAGGAGUGGGUGUGGUGUGAGGCUGGCGCAGGAGCGGGCUGGGAAUGUUAGGAGGUCUGGGGUAUCGCGGCCCUGCGUCCUCUUGGCUGGACCAAAAGUCUGUGCAGUUCUCUCCGGACCUGGAUUGUGCGCCCAGCGACAGGUGCUUGGCGAUCUGUGCUCGAUGUGCCCGCGGGGCUGUGGUGGGAGCCCUGUCUGCACGGGAUGCUGUGUGGCUGAGCAUAACCCAGAAGAGGAGAGAACCGCUGUGCAUCUGAAGUGAUGGCAGAGGUAAGUUGCAUUUGACAUUUUCUUCUUGGAAAGAACUUAUUGGUUUCCAGGACAGUGUCCUAUUUCAGAAAUUUAUCUAAAAGAUUUACAUUCAUGAUUUGAAGAAUGGGGAAGAGGGGAGGAAACUGCAUUUAUGGAGCAUUUUCCUAAAGCAGCCCAGGGCUGUCUGUUUUGCAAACAUUGUCUCAUCUGACAGAGAAUUUCCACUUCCCUGGAUUUUAUUCAUGCUCACAACAGUGUUGACAGAGAACGUGCCUCAGUGAUUUGGCAGGGAAAUUGAAGAACAGAAUUAGCUUUUUCAGUCUCACUGAUUUCUACAUUGUCCCCUCCAUGGUCAUAUGCAAUAGGCUUUGCUUAUCUUUUUUUUUUUUUUUUUUUUUUUUUGAGACAGAGUCUCGUUCUGUUGCCUGGGCUGGAGUGCAGUGGCGUAAUCUCGGCUCACUGCAACUUCCGCCUCCUGGGUUGAAGUGAUUCUCCUGCCUUAGCCUCUUGAGUAGCUGAGAUUACAGGCACACGCCAUCACGCCUUGCUAAUUUUUGUAUUUUUAGUAGAGACGGGGUUUCGCCAUAUUGCCCAGGCUGAUCUCGAACUCAGCUCAGGCAAUCCGCCUGCCUCGGCCUCCCAAAGUGCUGGGAUUACAGGUGAGAGCCAUCUUGCCUGGCCUGCUUACCGAUUUAUUUCUUUCUUUUUCUUUUUUUUUUAAGACCGAGUCUCAGGCCGGGCGCGGUGGCUCAAGCCUGUAAUCCCAGCACUUUGGGAGGCCGAGACGGGCGGAUCACGAGGUCAGGAGAUCGAGACCAUCCUGGCCAACACGGUGAAACCCCGUCUCUACUAAAAAAUACAAAAAAAACUAGCCAGGCGAGGUGGUGGGCGCCUGUAAUCCCAGCUACUCCGGAGGCUGAGGCAGGAGAAUGGCGUAAACCCGAGAGGCGGAGCUUGCAGUGAGCUGAGAUCCGGCCACUGCACUCCAGCCGGGGGGGCGGGGCGGGGCC
ensembl:lncRNA